rnacentral:rRNA from 1 species
UACGUAGGCGGAAGAUUAAGUCAGUGGUGAAAUCCCGCAGCUCAACUGUGGAACUGUCAUUGAUACUGGUUUUCUUGAAUUUAGUUGAGGUAGGCGGAAUGUGUAAUGUAGCGGUGAAAUGCUUAGAUAUUACACAGAACACCGAUUGCGAAGGCAGCUUACUAAACUAUGAUUGACGCUGAGGUACGAAAGCGUGGGGAGCGAACAGGAUUAGAUACCUGGUAGUCC